rnacentral:misc_RNA from 1 species
AUCUCGCCUCCCCCUCCGCCGCCGCCAUGAAAUUCAACCCCAGGGUUUCCAGCUCCCGCCGGAAGAGCCGCAAGGCUCACUUCACCGCCCCCUCCAGCGUCCGCCGCGUCCUGAUGAGCGCCCCCCUCUCCUCCGACCUCCGCAACAAGUACAACGUCCGCUCCAUGCCGGUUCGCAAGGACGACGAGGUCCAGGUCGUCCGCGGUACUUUCAAGGGCCGCGAGGGCAAGGUCGUGCAGGUCUACCGCCGCAAAUGGGUGAUCCACGUCGAGCGAAUCACUCGCGAGAAGGUGAAUGGCUCCACCGUUAACGUCGGCAUCAACCCCUCCAAGGUCGUCGUCACGAAGCUGAAGCUGGACAAGGAUCGCAAGGCGUUACUGGACCGGAAAGCGAAGGGGCGUGCUGCUGAUAAGGCGAAGGGUAAGUUCUCAGCUGAUGAGGUGGCUGCUGCUGCUGGCUCUCCGUCGCUGCAAGAGGUCGAUUAGUCGAUUGACUUAUUGAGGUUAUUUUGUUAUCAAUUAGAACUUUCUGUUAAGUUUUGAUUUUGUUGGGAAUCUUGAAUUGUGGCUGUUUU